UACGUAGGGUGCGAGCGUUUGUCCGGAAUUAUUGGGCGUAAAGAGCUCGUAGGCGGUCUGUCGCGUCGAUCGUGAAAACUUGGGGCUUAACCCUGAGCUUGCGGUCGAUACGGGCAUGACUGGAGUUCGGCAGGGGAGACUGGAAUUCCUGGUGUAGCGGUGAAAUGCGCAGAUAUCAGGAGGAACACCGGUGGCGAAGGCGGGUCUCUGGGCCGAUACUGACGUGAGGAGCGAAAGCGUGGGGAGCGAACAGG
rnacentral:rRNA from 1 species